CCUACGGGCGGCAGCAGUCGAGAAUCAUUCACAAUGGGGGAAACCCUGAUGGUGCGACGCCGCGUGGGGGAAUGAAGGUCUUCGGAUUGUAAACCCUUGUCAUGUGGGAGCACAUUAAAAAGAUAGUAUCACAAGAGGAAGAGACGGCUAACUCUGUGCCAGCUGGCGCGGUAAUACAGAGGUCUCAAGCGAUGUUCGGAAUCACUGGGCGUAAAGCGUGCGGAGGCUGGUUCGUCAGUCGUGUGUGAAAUGCGCGGGCUCAACCCGCGGACGGCACAUGAUACUGGGAGACUAGAGUAAGAGAGGGGGAAGCGGAAUUCUCGGUGUAGCAGGGAAAUGCGUAGAUA
rnacentral:rRNA from 1 species